rnacentral:rRNA from 1 species
UACGAAGGGGGGCUAGCGUUGCUCGGAAUUACUGGGCGUAAAGCGCACGUAGGCGGCUUUCUAAGUCGGGGGUGAAAUCCUGGAGCUCAACUCCAGAACUGCCUUUGAUACUGGAAAGCUUGAGUUCGGGAGAGGUGAGUGGAACUGCGAGUGUAGAGGUGAAAUGCGUAGAUAUCCGGAGGAACACCGGUGGCGAAGGCGGCUCCUGGACCGACACUGACGCUGAGGCGCGAAAGCUAGGGGAGCAAACGGG